rnacentral:rRNA from 1 species
AUGAACGCUAGCUACAGGCUUAACACAUGCAAGUCGAGGGGCAGCAUUUUAGUUUGCUUGCAAACUAAAGAUGGCGACCGGCGCACGGGUGAGUAACACGUAUCCAACCUGCCGAUAACUCGGGGAUAGCCUUUCGAAAGAAAGAUUAAUAUCCGAUAGUAUAUUAAAACCGCAUGGUUUUACUAUUAAAGAAUUUCGGUUAUCGAUGGGGAUGCGUUCCAUUAGUUUGUUGGCGGGGUAACGGCCCACCAAGACUACGAUGGAUAGGGGUUCUGAGAGGAAGGUCCCCCACAUUGGAACUGAGACACGGUCCAAACUCCUACGGGAGGCAGCAGUGAGGAAUAUUGGUCAAUGGACGAGAGUCUGAACCAGCCAAGUAGCGUGAAGGAUGACUGCCCUAUGGGUUGUAAACUUCUUUUAUAUGGGAAUAAAGUAUUCCACGUGUGGGAUUUUGUAUGUACCAUAUGAAUAAGGAUCGGCUAACUCCGUGCCAGCAGCCGCGGUAAUACGGAGGAUCCGAGCGUUAUCCGGAUUUAUUGGGUUUAAAGGGAGCGUAGGUGGAUUGUUAAGUCAGUUGUGAAAGUUUGCGGCUCAACCGUAAAAUUGCAGUUGAAACUGGCAGUCUUGAGUACAGUAGAGGUGGGCGGAAUUCGUGGUGUAGCGGUGAAAUGCUUAGAUAUCACGAAGAACUCCGAUUGCGAAGGCAGCUCACUAGACUGCAACUGACACUGAUGCUCGAAAGUGUGGGUAUCAAACAGGAUUAGAUACCCUGGUAGUCCACACAGUAAACGAUGAAUACUCGCUGUUUGCGAUAUACAGUAAGCGGCCAAGCGAAAGCAUUAAGUAUUCCACCUGGGGAGUACGCCGGCAACGGUGAAACUCAAAGGAAUUGACGGGGGCCCGCACAAGCGGAGGAACAUGUGGUUUAAUUCGAUGAUACGCGAGGAACCUUACCCGGGCUUAAAUUGCAUUUGAAUAAUCUGGAAACAGGUUAGCCGCAAGGCAAAUGUGAAGGUGCUGCAUGGUUGUCGUCAGCUCGUGCCGUGAGGUGUCGGCUUAAGUGCCAUAACGAGCGCAACCCUUAUCUUUAGUUACUAACAGGUCAUGCUGAGGACUCUAGAGAGACUGCCGUCGUAAGAUGUGAGGAAGGUGGGGAUGACGUCAAAUCAGCACGGCCCUUACGUCCGGGGCUACACACGUGUUACAAUGGGGGGUACAGAAGGCAGCUACCUGGCGACAGGAUGCUAAUCCCAAAAACCUCUCUCAGUUCGGAUCGAAGUCUGCAACCCGACUUCGUGAAGCUGGAUUCGCUAGUAAUCGCGCAUCAGCCAUGGCGCGGUGAAUACGUUCCCGGGCCUUGUACACACCGCCCGUCAAGCCAUGGAAGCCGGGAGUACCUGAAGCAUGCAACCGCAAGGAGCGUACGAAGGUAAUACCGGUAACUGGGGCU